GUGCGAUCGCCCGUGAGGGCGGUCACGAAGCCCUGACGAGUAGGAGGGUCGCGGCGGUGAGCGCAGAAGGGCUGGCCGCGAGGCCGUCUGGAGCCGCCGUCGGUGCAGAUCUUGGUGGUAGUAGCAAAUACUCCAGCGAGGCCCUGGAGGACUGACGUGGAGAAGGGUUUCGUGUGAACAGCCGUUGCACACGAGUCAGUCGAUCCUAAGCCCUAGGCGAAAGCCGAUGUCGAUGCGGUGUAGUUUUUACCAAAUAUAUAUUUAUGUAUGUAUGUAUAGAGCGAGAACACACCCGUCGGGCGAAAGGGAAUCCGGUUCCUAUUCCGGAACC
rnacentral:rRNA from 1 species